GAUGAACUCUGGCGGCGUGCCUAAUACAUGCAAGUCGAGCGAACUGACGAGAAGCUUGCUUUUCUGAUGUUAGCGGCGGACGGGUGAGUAACACGUGGAUAACCUACCUAUAAGACUGGGAUAACUUAGGGAAACCGGAUCUAAUACCGGAUAAUAUUUUUAACCGCUUGGUUCAAAAGUGAAAGACGGUCUUGCUGUCACUUAUAGAUGUAUCCGCGCUGCAUUAGCUAGUUGGUAAGUUAACGGCUUACCAAGGCAACGAUGAGUAGCCGAUCUGACGGGGUGAUCGGUUGUAGUGGAACGAAGACAAGGGCGAGCCGCCUACAGGUAGCAGCAGUAGGGCUUCUUCCGUCUAUGGCGCAAAACUCACGAAGAAAAGCUGAGUGAGGGAUCAAGGUCCUAGGAUCGUAAAACUCUGUUAAUAGGGCAACACAUAUGUGUACGUAACGGUGCAACUCUUGACGGUACCUAACCAGAACACAACGGCUAACUACGUG
rnacentral:rRNA from 1 species